UACGAGGGGGCAAGCGUUGUUCGGAAUUAUUGGGCGUAAAGGGUGCGUAGGCGGUUUGGUAAGUCUGAUGUGAAAUCUAUGGGCUCAACUCAUAGUCUGCAUCGGAAACUGCCGGGCUUGAGUGUGGGAGAGGUGAGUGGAAUUCCUGGUGUAGCGGUGAAAUGCGUAGAUAUCAGGAGGAACACCUGUGGCGAAAGCGGCUCACUGGACCAUAACUGACGCUGAUGCACGAAAGCUAGGGGAGCAAACAGG
rnacentral:rRNA from 1 species